GAUGAACGCUGGCGGCGUGCUUAACACAUGCAAGUCGAACGAUGAAGCCCAGCUUGCUGGGUGGAUUAGUGGCGAACGGGUGAGUAACACGUGAGUAACCUGCCCUUAACUCUGGGAUAAGCCUGGGAAACUGGGUCUAAUACCGGAUAGGAGCGUCCACCGCAUGGUGGGUGUUGGAAAGAUUUAUCGGUUUUGGAUGGACUCGCGGCCUAUCAGCUUGUUGGUGAGGUAAUGGCUCACCAAGGCGACGACGGGUAGCCGGCCUGAGAGGGUGACCGGCCACACUGGGACUGAGACACGGCCCAGACUCCUACGGGAGGCAGCAGUGGGGAAUAUUGCACAAUGGGCGAAAGCCUGAUGCAGCGACGCCGCGUGAGGGAUGACGGCCUUCGGGUUGUAAACCUCUUUCAGUAGGGAAGAAGCGAAAGUGACGGUACCUGCAGAAGAAACACCGGCUAACUACGU
rnacentral:rRNA from 1 species